rnacentral:rRNA from 1 species
GAUGAACGCUGGCGGCGUGCCUAAUACAUGCGAGUCGAGCGAACAGAUGAGGAGCUUGCUCCUCUGACGUUAGCGGCGGACGGGUGAGUAACACGUGGAUAACCUACCUAUAAGACUGGGAUAACUUCGGGAAACCGGAGCUAAUACCGGAUAAUAUAUUGAACCGCAUGGUUCAAUAGUGAAAGACGGUUUUGCUGUCACUUAUAGAUGGAUCCGCGCCGCAUUAGCUAGUUGGUAAGGUAACGGCUUACCAAGGCAACGAUGCGUAGCCGACCUGAGAGGGUGAUCGGCCACACUGGAACCGAGACACGGUCCAGACUCCUACGGGAGGCAGCAGUAGGGAAUCUUCCGCAAUGGGCGAAAGCCUGACGGAGCAACGCCGCGUGAGUGAUGAAGGUCUUCGGAUCGUAAAACUCUGUUAUUAGGGAAGAACAAAUGUGUAAGUAACUAUGCACGUCUUGACGGUACCUAAUCAGAAAGCCACGGCUAACUACGUG